UGUGCGCCAGGGUCUCCAUCAAGCUAGUCAAGCAAGUGUCAGAAAGGUGGGGGUGAACUGUGCCAGGUGCUCCUGGCUCCUCGAAGGAGCUGCCAACUAAUAUACCUGAUGGGCCGCAGGACCAAGGUGAAAUACAGACUGGCCCACCAGGGCUUCUCACCCUCCACAGAUGGCAAGAGGUCCCAUCACUUGGUGUCAGGGCAGGACGCGAGGAGAGAAAGUGAAAAGUAUGGAGCAAGGGCAUGUACGGCUGUGUCCUAGGCGUGGCGGGAAACGAAUCUGAUACGGGCAACUGAGGUGCAGAGAGAUUAACCCAUUUGCCCAAUAUCACACAGGAAGUGUGUGUCAGAGCCAACAACUAAACACAGGUGUGGCAGUGUACGCCCACUGGGUCCCAGCCCAGGGCCGAAACAGUAGUGGAGUGGUCCACCACUGAGUCAGCAGGGAAUCCAGCUGCAACACGCUGACCUUACCUGAGUGGGAGAUACCAUUCACUCCACCUCCAUGGGCUACUUCCAACCAUGCUUCCUGAAGCCGUUGUCCAUAUGACAUCAGGAUCUCCAGGCUCCUCAGAGCAGACAUUGUAGGAGAUGUAUGCUGCUUUAGCAUUAGCGUACUAGUACACCCUACAUCUAAUUCCUGCAGAGGCUUGUGAUACCCCCCAAAGCAUUGCUCCUCAUGGGACGACAACUGGCGAUGGUAGG